rnacentral:rRNA from 1 species
AUACGAGGGGUGCAAGCGUUAAUCGGAAUUACUGGGCGUAAAGCGUUCGUAGGCGGUUUGUUAAGCAAGAUGUGAAAGCCCAGUGCUCAACCUUGGAACUGCAUUUUGAACUGGCAGGCUAGAGUACGGUAGAGGGUGGUGGAAUUUCCAGUGUAGCGGUGAAAUGCGUAGAGAUUGGAAGGAACAUCAGUGGCGAAGGCGGCCACCUGGACAGAUACUGACGCUGAGGAACGAAAGCGUGGGGAGCAAACAGGAUUAGAAACCCCGGUAGUCC